CUACGGGCUGCAGCAGUGAGGAAUAUUGCACAAUGGGGGGACCCUGAUGCAGCAACGCCGCGAGGAGGAUGACGCAUUUCGGUGUGUAAACUCCUUUUAUAUGUCAAGAAAAUGACGGUAGCAUAUGAAUAAGCACCGGCUAACUCCGUGCCAGCAGCCGCGGUAAUACGGAGGGUGCAAGCGUUACUCGGAAUCACUGGGCGUAAAGGACGCGUAGGCGGGUUGGAAAGUCAGGUGUGAAAGCCUACAGCUUAACUGUAGAACUGCACUUGAAACUUCUAAUCUAGAGUAUGGGAGGGGGAGAUGGAAUUAGUGGUGUAGGGGUAAAAUCCGUAGAUAUCACUAGGAAUACCUAAAGCGAAGGCGAUCUCCUGGAACAUUACUGACGCUAAGGCGUGAAAGCGUGGGGAGCAAACAGGAUUAGAUACCCCGGUAGUC
rnacentral:rRNA from 1 species